rnacentral:rRNA from 1 species
UACGUAGGGUGCGAGCGUUAAUCGGAAUUACUGGGCGUAAAGCGUGCGCAGGCGGUUUUGUAAGCCAGAUGUGAAAUCCCCGGGCUUAACCUGGGAAUGGCAUUUGGGACUGCAAGGCUUGAGUGUGGCAGAGGAGACCGGAAUUCCUGGUGUAGCAGUGAAAUGCGUAGAUAUCAGGAGGAACACCGAUGGCGAAGGCAGGUCUCUGGGCUAACACUGACGCUCAUGCACGAAAGCGUGGGGAGCAAACAGG